rnacentral:rRNA from 1 species
CGCUACUACCAUGCAACCGCGCCACGACGCCCUUCAUACUUACUUAUGGCGAACGGUGAGAACACCUGCCUGAUCUGCCCUGCUCUUCGGGAUAAACCCGGGAAACUGGGUCUAAUACCGGAUAGGACUGCGCGGUGCAUGCCGAGUGGUGGAAAGAUUUAUCGGUGCUAGAUGGGCCCGCAACCUAUCACCUUGUUGACGAUCCAAUGGCCUACUGAGGCGACGACCGGUAGCCUGCCUGAGAGGACACCGGCCACUCGUACACUGAGACACGGCCCAGACUCAUACGACAAUGGGCAAAGGCCUGUAUUGCACAUGGCGCGCGAGCCUGAUGCGCCUUCGCCUUGUGAGGGAUGACUACCCUUCGAUGAUGUAAACCUCUUUCAGCAGAAUAAAAUCCGGCUUGACCCUACCUGCAAAACAAGCACCUACCAACUACGUGCCAGCUGCCCCGAAUUUACGUACGGAGCACGCAUUGUCCGGAAUUACUGGGUUAAAAGAGAUCGCAUGCAGCUUGUCUCGUCAACUGCCUUUGAUACUGCCUGAACUGUUGCCUUGCAAGGUAAGUGGAAUUACUUGAGUAUUUCAGGGGAUACUGGAAUUCCUGAAGAACCGCUGAGAUGCGCGCAUAUCACUGGGAACACCUUGACCCUGAGGUGCUCUCUGGUAAAUAACUGACGCUGAUGAAUAAACUGGUGGGUAGCGCACAGGAUUAUAUACACUGGUUGUCCACGCCCUAGGUGCUUGCGCUAGGUGUGGAUUUCCUUCCAUAUCAUCCGGGGCGAGUACUAACGCAUUAAUCGCACCCCAGGAGAUUACGGCCGCCUGCUAAACGCAGAGCAUUGACUGGAGUCCGCACANCGGCAGACCUUAGCAUCAUUUGACAGGACGGAAAAUCUUACCUGGAUUACUUCCCUUCGGAGACCUGCGCACAGCGCUCC